AUUGAACGCUGGCGGCAGGCCUAACACAUGCAAGUCGAGCGAGCGGCGGACGGGUGAGUAAUGCCUGGGAAUUGCCCAGUCGAUGGGGAUAACAGUUGGAAACGACUGCUAAUACCUCAUACGAUUGGAUUGCCCAGGUGGGAUUAGCUAGUUGGUGAGGUAAUGGCUCACCAAGGCGACGAUCCCUAGCGGGUCUGAGAGGAUGAUCAGCCACAUUGGAACUGAGACACGGCCCAGACUCCUACGGGAGGCAGCAGUGGGGAAUAUUCCACAAUGGGCGAAAGCCUGAGAGAGCAAUGCCGCGUGUGUGAAGAAGGUCUUCGGGUUGUAAAGCACUUUCGGCGAGGAGGCGUUAAUCGCAGAGGAAGCAACGGCUAACUCCGUGCCAGCAGCCGCGGUAAUUC
rnacentral:rRNA from 1 species